UUGCUAUCUGCGAUAUGGAAGAUUCGAACCUGCCGCAGGUUCGGGUCGAACGCAGUGAGACAACGGAGCCGUUUACGGCGACGGCCCGAAGGGCGAGCGAAGCGAGUCAU
rnacentral:sRNA from 2 species